AAUCUGCGAUAAGCGUCGGUAAGGUGAUAUGAACCGUUAUAACCGGCGAUUUCCGAAUGGGGAAACCCAGUGUGAUUCGUCACACUAUCAUUAACUGAAUCCAUAGGUUAAUGAGGCGAACCGGGGGAACUGAAACAUCUAAGUACCCCGAGGAAAAGAAAUCAACCGAGAUUCCCCCAGUAGCGGCGAGCGAACGGGGAGCAGCCCAGAGCCUGAAUCAGUGUGUGUGUUAGUGGAAGCGUCUGGAAAGGCGUGCGAUACAGGGUGACAGCCCCGUACACAAAAAUGCACAUACUGUGAGCUCGAUGAGUAGGGCGGGACACGUGGUAUCCUGUCUGAAUAUGGGGGGACCAUCCUCCAAGGCUAAAUACUCCUGACUGACCGAUAGUGAACCAGUACCGUGAGGGAAAGGCGAAAAGAACCCCGGCGAGGGGAGUGAAAAAGAACCUGAAACCGUGUACGUACAAGCAGUGGGAGCACGCUUAGGCGUGUGACUGCGUACCUUUUGUAUAAUGGGUCAGCGACUUAUAUUCUGUAGCAAGGUUAACCGAAUAGGGGAGCCGAAGGGAAACCGAGUCUUAACUGGGCGUUAAGUUGCAGGGUAUAGACCCGAAACCCGGUGAUCUAGCCAUGGGCAGGUUGAAGGUUGGGUAACACUAACUGGAGGACCGAACCGACUAAUGUUGAAAAAUUAGCGGAUGACUUGUGGCUGGGGGUGAAAGGCCAAUCAAACCGGGAGAUAGCUGGUUCUCCCCGAAAGCUAUUUAGGUAGCGCCUCGUGAAUUCAUCUCCGGGGGUAGAGCACUGUUUCGGCAAGGGGGUCAUCCCGACUUACCAACCCGAUGCAAACUGCGAAUACCGGAGAAUGUUAUCACGGGAGACACACGGCGGGUGCUAACGUCCGUCGUGAAGAGGGAAACAACCCAGACCGCCAGCUAAGGUCCCAAAGUCAUGGUUAAGUGGGAAACGAUGUGGGAAGGCCCAGACAGCCAGGAUGUUGGCUUAGAAGCAGCCAUCAUUUAAAGAAAGCGUAAUAGCUCACUGGUCGAGUCGGCCUGCGCGGAAGAUGUAACGGGGCUAAACCAUGCACCGAAGCUGCGGCAGCGACGCUUAUGCGUUGUUGGGUAGGGGAGCGUUCUGUAAGCCUGUGAAGGUGUGCUGUGAGGUAUGCUGGAGGUAUCAGAAGUGCGAAUGCUGACAUAAGUAACGAUAAAGCGGGUGAAAAGCCCGCUCGCCGGAAGACCAAGGG
rnacentral:rRNA from 1 species